AUGAACGCUAGCGGUUUGCCUAACACAUGCAAGUUGCACGGCGCCAUGCCUCUCGAGGAAUGGCGGAGUGGCGGACGGGUGAGGAACGCGUAAGGACCUGCCCCUGGGAGGGGGAUAACAGCUGGAAACGGCUGCUAAUACCCCAUAUCCUGAGGAGGGAAAGGAGAGAUCCGCCCAGGGAGGGGCUUGCGUCUGAUUAGCUAGUUGUGGGGGUAAUGGCCUCCCAAGGCAACGAUCAGUUGCUGGUCUGAGAGGAUGAUCAGCCACACUGGGACUGAGACACGGCCCAGACUCCUACGGGAGGCAGCAGUGAGGAAUCUUCCGCAAUGGGCGAAAGCCUGACGGGGCAAUGCCGCGUGGAGGAUGAAGGCCCAAUGGGUCGUAAACUUCUUUAGAUCAGAGACGAAGAGAUGACGGUACCUGAAGAACUAAGCAUCGGCUAAACCCCGU
rnacentral:rRNA from 1 species